UUCCUUUGAUCAUUCUUUAAAAAAAGAAGAUCACCACUUAUCCUUUAAGUACUUGAAAACAUCACCAAGAUAUUUCCUUGCAGCAGGUCUGGAGAGCAAAAGUUCCUUCCGUGGGAGCCUCCGCAUCUCUAGCUGCCUCUUUACUCCCUCCUCUCUCUAACCUUCCUCCUUCAAUCACGUUAGGGACAGUCCUAUGGCAGAGAUCUUGGCAGGAACAGGUCUACUUUUAGGAGCAAGGGUGUGAAGGGUGGUGGGUGGGGAGCAGAGGUGGUGAGAAGUAGCCUCUGGAACUGGGAGAGGGUGUUGGUGUUGAGCGGUACGCUCUCGUUUUGAAGCCUGCAUGGCUCUCACCUUGUUUCCGCCCAUGCUGCCCCACAGAGCCCGGUGUGGGUGCCAGAGAGGGGGCAUUUCAACUCUAUGAACUGUGUCACCUGAGUACAUAACGGAGCGGGGAAGUGCGGAGACCCUGGUAACAUCCAGGGAAAUCUCUACUUGGAUGUGGUUUGUACCCUGGUCCAGGGGUGACUUUAAACAGUUUGUGAUAAAACAAAAACAGUUGGCUUGGCAGCUCUCCGAAUAGGUGCCCAGGUAGAAGUUUUUAUUUGUUUAUUUUAAAUCCUUUUAAAUUGCAGUUCUUCAUGAGCUUCCUGUGUCAGACAUGCAGCUGAAUCUGUAAUGAUGGGCGCUACCAACGCUGCUUUUUUCCCCUCUCCAUUUGCGCUCGAAACAAAGCUGCCUGCAGGUAUGGUCUGGAAGAUGCUGCAUGCAUGGGCUUCUCGGUGGAUGGUGGCACAGAGCUGAUUCAUUUCAAAUACUGCCUAUUUAUAGCCUCUUCAGAAUAAUGGUAAGACGGUAGAUGUUCUCUCUACCACCACCAUGUAGGUUAACAUGACUUUUUAAAUGGAGAUAAAUUAUGUUUUACUCACAGAUGACUCAUUUCAUAGUCCUUUUUAAAUGCACACCCUGCCGUUUCUCUGAAGUGUGUCACUUUAAUAAUCAGCCCGUGCUGGAGCAUUCUCAGUGAGCUGUAGGCUUGGAAGGGGGACGAGGCCUUCCAAAACCUGGAGCUCUGUAUGGGAAACUGGUGCUCAGGGAAGCUGAGGACCCCAGCAUCUUACAGGUCUCCUUAGUGCAGAUCUAGGACCAGAGCUCUCUUCCCUUGACUGCUAAUUCAGCACGAGGCUUCCUUUGCUCUGACCUGCCUUGCCUACCCUCACCUACCCCCAUGGACCGGCACUUGCCGCCACAAAAGAACAAAAGCAAAAACGAAAGAGAAAACGUCCUCGUUACCGGCAUCCUGGAAUGUGGGCGAUGAUUUUAUUGCAGCAAAAAAAUAAUGUUUUAAAGAAAAACCUCAGGUAGUUUUGUCAUCCUAAAAAACUUUCUUUUCUUGUUGUGUGUGUUCUUAGUUCUUGUCCGUUCUAAUACAAACUCUUAAAAACGUUAAACGUUAAAAAUAGUUAUUUAUACCAUAAGCAGAAGCCGAGGUGUUUAUUGAAAUGUCUGAGAACCUUCUUUGCUGAUGCUGUCUGUUGUGCCCGUUUUGAGUUUUAGGGCUAAGCUACUUCCUGUGUGUGCAUAAAUACAUGACGUCUUUCUCUGUAAACAAAUACAUGAGACUAUAUUUCUCUAAAUUAAAGAAUCAAUGUAUGCGUUCUUUCCACGAUUUUGGAGGAGAGCUUCGCACAUCACCGUUCCCUGUAAGUCUUCUUUCAAGUGUUUGUUGUCAUUGGCUGGUUCUGACAUUGGCACACUAGAAAGAGCAUGAACCUUAUGUCUAGUAGACCUCUGUGAGCCCAGAUUUUCUCAUCUCUACAAUGUGAGUAUUAGGCAGGUAAGUCACCUGGCCGGUGUCUGCACGCAGGUGUUGACUAAUGUUAGUGUCCUCCCUGUGUCUUCUGCUCUGCUUACACUCGUGUCUGGAUGUGAUGUCCUACCUGAUUAUUUUCACCCACCCGAUAGAACAAAAUGAUUCAAUUCCAUUAGGACUCAAUUCAAGGUUGCCCCAGGUUUGGAGUGACUGUCUGCUUCACCCAUACCGUCCUCAUGGGCCUUCUACCCCUGAAGCGCUGAGCCCGUUGUAUAAGCAGAGGUAGAUAGAGAGAUGGGUUAGGAAGCUGGGGAUGAAUGGCCAAAGCUGGAGCUCUGGAGCCUAAUUGGAGAGUGGACGAGGGACCACUGGGCUCAAGGGUGUGGAUGUGCCUGUGAGUCAGCUUGGGUGCUUGACUCAGCCCAUAGCAGUGGGCUGGGGUGAACAGAGGUUUAGGACCUAUAGGCAGGCAGGGUUCUUAGAAACAAAGACAAGUUCUGUAGAGGAGGAAGGUUUUCAGUGGCCCAGGAUGGAAGUGAACUGUGGGUCAGGCAUCUGAGCCACGGAGGAGAGAAUCAGGUCAGUAGGUCACCAAUAGCCAGGAGUCCACAAGGGUGCUGAAUAAAGGCUCUCACCUGUUCAUUUGUCGGUUCGUGGGCUCCUGUAAAUGCAGGAACUGAUUGCUGAGUGAGGGCCCUAAACCCCCAGGCAAGCGGGACCCAGGGUCAACGGUGCAUGGCAGGAGAGCAGCCAGGGUCAACGGUGGGACCCAGGGUCAACGGUGCAUGGCAGGAGAGCAGCCAGGGUCAACGGUGGGACCCAGGGUCAACGGUGCAUGGCAGGAGAGCAGCCAGGGUCAACGGUGGGACCCACGGUCAACGGUGCAUGGCAGGAGAGCAGCCACCUGGUCCCUCCUGGUUUGUUGGCGGAGGAGCUUGGUACGCACGUGUCUUCUUCGUCCAGUGUAACUAUUAGUAGAGCCUCACCCACACCCAGAG